UGGGGAAUAUUGCACAAUGGGCGCAAGCCUGAUGCAGCCAUGCCGCGUGUGUGAAGAAGGCCUUCGGGUUGUAAAGCACUUUCAGCGGGGAGGAAGGCGUUAAGGUUAAUAACCUUGGCGAUUGACGUUACCCGCAGAAGAAGCACCGGCUAACUCCGUGCCAGCAGCCGCGGUAAUACGGAGGGUGCAAGCGUUAAUCGGAAUUACUGGGCGUAAAGCGCACGCAGGCGGUCUGUCUAGUCGGAUGUGAAAUCCCCGGGCUCAACCUGGGAACUGCAUUCGAAACUGGCAGGCGAGAGUCUUGUAGAGGGGGGUAGAAUUCCAGGUGUAGCGGUGAAAUGCGUAGAGAUCUGGAGGAAUACCGGUGGCGAAGGCGGCCCCCUGGACAAAGACUGACGCUCAGGUGCGAAAGCGUGGGGAGCAAACAGG
rnacentral:rRNA from 1 species